ACACAAACACACUCCCCCAAAGUUAAGCAAGACAAGCAACCGAGGCUCAGUGAAGCUAUCGAUUUGCACAGGAGGCUCAGCGCUAAGCAGAACAAGAGAGACAGAAGCAGCAAGAAAGAGCAGGCUGCCUCUCGCACGUCAACACAGGACUGAAUGAAAGGCUGAGAGCGUGCUGUGGCAUCUUAAGUGGGUGUGAUAUCGAGGCUGGAGCCAACAAGCAGACAGCAGGUACACAAGGCUAGACGGGGAUGUUCACUUCACCUCCAGCUCUACUUUCAUCCAUCUCCCUCCACCCCUCUCUCACCGCCUCUAUCCCCUGUGUGCGUUUUGUUAUUACACUCUGGCUUGAUAUAUUUAUUCUGUCCAUCACAGCGUUGCUCUUUGCCCCACCAUCCCACCCUCUGCAUAAUAUUUUCAAUCUCAUCACAGGACGCUCCGCUGGAGUUGUCGAAUCUCGCCUCUGCUGAGGUGUGAGAUGCGAGAUGGCGAGUCAGACCUGUAACCCUCCCGGCUUCCUCUCUGCCCUUCACAUUUGACAGAGAAAACAGAGAAACAUUUCAGCAGCAGACAGAUUUUGCUUUUUUUUGCUAUCAACAAUAUGAUUGCUGCCUCAUUGCAAAGUCUAACAAGCAGCUGGGACUGCGACUAAAAAUGAUUUCAAUUCUAAACAGACAGCAGCAAAAUAACACUGGUGUGGAAGGCACUCGUUAGUUUGCCACGUAGCUUUGAGUGGCGUGUACCUGUGUUAUCGUUCUUACACGCAUGUAUUAAGCUCAUAUAGACUAUUUUGUCAGAAUGAUGUACUUCAAAUAAAAUGUUUCUUUACAACAAA